GAAAAUCGAAGUUACAGAAACAAUGUAUAUAAUAAAUACAUUUUUCUGUAACUCGGAAGUUUGUCAUUGUAACACCAACAUAAGAAAAUUAAUUAUUGCAACAUUUAGCAAUAUCUGUUUAACUUUUUACCUUGUGUACCGCCAUUAAACUUUAAUUUAAAAGAAUUAUAAAGUUAAUGUUAUACAGAUACUAUUUUUUUGUAGUAGUCUUUAAAAAUGUUAUAAAAUGCCCAAGUAAAAACUUUAAUUUGGUUUUUUAUGUUUCUGAUAUUUCUUGAGCUUUAAAUAUUAACUUAACUGUGUGGUUGUGGUUUAAAAAAAUAAAGAAAUACUUACAACAUGCCCAUUUCGUAAAAAGUAAUUGACAUCAAUUGUCAUGGAGUUCUUAUUGGUGUUGGCUAUAUUGUUUGUAAGUUUAGCGCAGGUUAAUGAUUAUGUUUUUAAUGUACUUGUCCUGGAGACAAUCGUACCCUUUUUGAAA